AAUAAACGUGACGCCUCGCUCAAAGUUAAGGAAGAACUAAAUAAGGUAUUGUCGAUGUGUUGUGUCGUUUUAGAACGCGGAACGCCCAGUCAACAGUAUAUUUAUUCCGAAUUAAUGAAGGAGAAACAAAAUACUAUCGAAUCAACAAUAGAUGACCAAAGAAAGAUUACAUGUACAUCAACAAUGACAGUGUCUUUUCCGAAUCAGGUUACUUCCCUUCUUCAGAUGGGAAGCAAUUCUAUAAAACUGAAUUAUGAUGGCAACAAGACAGAUGUUGAAAGUGUGUUAGAUAUGUGUGCUAUGAAAUUGAUGGGCACAGAACUUAUUGUUGAGCGAUUAGGUAGCAGUGAUGCAAAUGAAAAACCAUUUAACAGCCUUUUAAAAUCAUCUACGGAUUCCAUGUUUGAUGGCACACAAACUGAGAUCUGGUUGAAGACAUCCCACCUGGAGUGGAUGAAGAAAUGUUAGAAAUGUGUUUCUCAUCAAAGAGAUUGGGAUCGUGCACGGUAGAAGACAUUGACAUAGAUGAAGUUGACAAUAACGCUGUUAUAAAGUUUUUGAGACCACAAGACGUGAAAACUGUGCUCGAUAAUAUUCCAAUUACAAUAAAGAAAAGGGAGGUUUCUGUGCAAAUCUAUGUUCCAAAAAAGUUGUGUACAGUCAUUGUUUGUGGACCAGAGGGGUUAAUGAAAGAGGAAAAUGAUGAUACAUUUGAGAUGUAUUUUGAAAAUGAAAAGAAGUCAGGCGGUUCCGAUCUUC